rnacentral:rRNA from 1 species
AUGUCGUCGCUCGCCGUCGGCUGCGGGCUGGAGCGGGAGCUCUGGCUCGGGGGCCUCUUCACGGCGGCGGACCUGGCGGCCGCCGACCUGCUCCUGCAGCUCCGCUUGGGAGAGGCGGAGGCGGCCGCGUUCACGAUGACGUCCUCCUCGCAGCGCUCGGCGAGCUCGUGCUGCGAGGACCUCGCCGUCGACGCUGAGGAGGAGCCGAUCGUCAAGGAGACUGCCAUGUCUCUGGGGUCCAUGGACCUGGACUGGAGGACGAGGAAGAGCUCGGCGAACUCAUGCUGCAAGGACCUCGCCGUCGACGAGGAGGAAGAGCGGGUCGUCAAGGAGAGGGCGCUGCCGCUGGGGUCGAUGGAUCUGGAAAGGAGGGCAAGGAAGAGGUACCGCCUGCUGUCAGAGCUCUACGCCGCCACGAGACCGGCAAAGGCCGCCGCCCCUGCCGCGAAGAAGAAGAGGAAGAGGCGCCACGACGGCGGCGUGUCGGAGUCGGAGGAGGCGACGAGGUACGGAGACUACUCGGAGUAG